rnacentral:rRNA from 1 species
UACGGAUGCCACCAGCGAUCCGCCUGAGUUCCUUAAAUGACUCGGCGGGCAGCUUCCGGGAAACCAAAGUUUUUCGGUUCCGGGGGAAGUAUGGUUGCAAAGCUGAAACUUAAAGGAAUUGACGGAAGGGCACCACCAGGAGUGGAGCCUGCGGCUUAAUUUGACUCAACACGGGAAAACUUACCCGGCCCGGACACUGGCAGGAUUGACAGAUUGAGAGCUCUUUCUUGAUUCAGUGGGUGGUGGUGCAUGGCCGUUCUUAGUUGGUGGAGCGAUUUGUCUGGUUAAUUCCGAUAACGAACGAGACUCUAGCCUACUAAAUAGGCCACCGGCUUACUGACGUCGGUGGGACUUCUUAGAGGGACAGGCGGCGAUUCAGCCGCACGAAACAGAGCAAUAACAGGUCUGUGAUGCCCUUAGAUGUCCGGGGCCGCACGCGCGCUACACUGAAGUGAUCAGCGUGCAUUACAAACCUGCUCCGUCAGGAGUGGGGAACCCAAUGAACCUUCUUCGUGAUUGGGAUAGGGGAUUGUAAUUAUUCCCCUUGAACGAGGAAUUCCCAGUAAGCGCGAGUCAUAAGCUCGCGUUGAUUACGUCCCUGCCCUUUGUACACACCGCCCGUCGCUACUACCGAUUGAAUGAUUUAGUGAGGUCUUCGGACUGGCCGGCGCAGCUGUCUUCGGGCGGCCGCGCUGUGUUUGGAAAGAUGCCCAAACUUGAUCAUUUAGAGGAAGUAAAAGUCGUAACAAGGUUUCCGUAGUGAACCUGCGGAAGGAUC